rnacentral:rRNA from 1 species
UACGUAGGGGGCAAGCGUUGUCCGGAAUCAUUGGGCGUAAAGAGCGUGUAGGCGGCCCGGUAAGUCUGUUGUGAAAGUCCAGGGCUCAACCCUGGAAUGCCGAUGGAUACUGCCGGGCUAGAGUCCGGAAGAGGCGAGUGGAACUCCUGGUGUAGCGGUGGAAUGCGCAGAUAUCAGGAAGAACACCAACGGCGAAGGCAGCUCGCUGGGACGGUACUGACGCUGAGACGCGAAAGCGUGGGGAGCGAACAGG